ACACCGUUGGUGAAACGGUAUCAUGCGUCGUUGCCAUGCGCAAGCUCGACGCGGCAGGGGUUCGACUCCCUUACGGUGUA
rnacentral:tRNA from 1 species